UACGGAGGGUGCGAGCGUUGUCCGGAAUCACUGGGCGUAAAGGGCGCGUAGGCGGCGCGGUAAGCGGGCGGUGAAAGCCCGGGGCUCAACCCCGGGUCGGCCGUGCGGACUGCCGCGCUGGAGCACUGUAGAGGCGGGUGGAAUUCCGGGUGUAGCGGUGGAAUGCGUAGAGAUCCGGAAGAACACCGGUGGCGAAGGCGGCGAGCUGGUCCAUUACUGACGCUGAGGCGCGACAGCGUGGGGAGCAAACAGG
rnacentral:rRNA from 1 species